rnacentral:rRNA from 1 species
AUUGAACGCUGGCGGCAGGCCUAACACAUGCAAGUCGAGCGGAUGAAGGGAGCUUGCUCCUGGAUUCAGCGGCGGACGGGUGAGUAAUGCCUAGGAAUCUGCCUGGUAGUGGGGGAUAACGUCCGGAAACGGGCGCUAAUACCGCAUACGUCCUGAGGGAGAAAGUGGGGGAUCUUCGGACCUCACGCUAUCAGAUGAGCCUAGGUCGGAUUAGCUAGUUGGUGGGGUAAAUGCCUACCAAGGCGACGAUCCGUAACUGGUCUGAGAGGAUGAUCAGUCACACUGGAACUGAGACACGGUCCAGACUCCUAAGGGAGGCAGCAGUGGGGAAUAUUGGGCAAUGGGGGAAAGCCUGAUCCAGCCAGGCCGCGUGUGUGAAGAAGGUCUUCGGAUUGUAAAGCACUUUAAGUUGGGAGGAAGGGCAGUAAGUUAAUACCUUGCUGUUUUGACGUUACCAACAGAAUAAGCACCGGCUAACUUCGUG